rnacentral:rRNA from 1 species
GAUGAACGCUAGCGGCAGGCCUAAUACAUGCAAGUCGGACGGGAUUGGAGAGCUUGCUUUCCAUGAGAGUGGCGCACGGGUGCGUAACACGUAUGUAACCUACCUUGUUCAGGGGGAUAGCCUCUCGAAAGAGAGAUUAAGACCGCAUAACAUUGCAAUGUGGCAUCACAAAGCAAUCAAAUAUUUAUAGGAACAAGAUGGGCAUGCGGAACAUUAGCUAGUUGGUAAGGUAACGGCUUACCAAGGCUACGAUGUUUAGGGGAUCUGAGAGGAUCGACCCCCANACUGGUACUGAGACACGGACCAGA